UCCUAGCCCUGAUGGCAGUGAAAAUCCUUUUUAUCCGCCUUUUCGGCGGAUAAAAAGGAUUUUCACUGCCAUCAGGAAAUAGC
rnacentral:sRNA from 1 species